rnacentral:rRNA from 1 species
ACUCCUACGGGAGGCAGCAGUGGGGAAUAUUGCACAAUGGGCGCAAGCCUGAUGCAGCCAUGCCGCGUGUAUGAAGAAGGCCUUCGGGUUGUAAAGUACUUUCAGCAGUGAGGAAGGUGGGUAUGUUAAUAGCAUACUCAUUUGACGUUAGCUGCAGAAGAAGCACCGGCUAACUCCGUGCCAGCAGCCGCGGUAAUACGGAGGGUGCGAGCGUUAAUCGGAAUUACUGGGCGUAAAGCGCAUGCAGGUGGUUUGUUAAGUCAGAUGUGAAAGCCCGGGGCUCAACCUCGGAAUUGCAUUUGAAACUGGCAAACUAGAGUACUGUAGAGGGGGGUAGAAUUUCAGGUGUAGCGGUGAAAUGCGUAGAGAUCUGAAGGAAUACCGGUGGCGAAGGCGGCCCCCUGGACAGAUACUGACACUCAGAUGCGAAAGCGUGGGGAGCAAACAGGAUUAGAUACCCUGGUAGCCACUGC